GACAGAGGUCCCGAGCGUUAGGCGGAAUCACUGGGCUUAAAGCGUGUGUAGGCGGAUGCCUAAGUACCUUGUGAAAUCCCACGGCUCACCCGUGGAACUGCUUGGUAUACUGGGUGUCUUGAGCCACUUAGGGGCUACCGGAACAAAUGGUGGAGCGGUGAAAUGCGUAGAUAUCAUUUGGAACGCCAAUGGUGAAAACAGGUAGCUGGGAGUGUGCUGACGCUGAGACACGAAAGCCAGGGGGAGGCAAACACGGGG
rnacentral:rRNA from 1 species